GGCGGACGGGUGAGUAAUGUCUGGGAAACUGCCUGAUGGAGGGGGAUAACUACUGGAAACGGUAGCUAAUACCGCAUAACGUCGCAAGACCAAAGAGGGGGACCCUCGGGCCUCUUGCCAUCGGAUGUGCCCAGAUGGGAUUAGCUUGUUGGUGGGGUAACGGCUCACCAAGGCGACGAUCCCUAGCUGGUCUGAGAGGAUGACCAGCCACACUGGAACUGAGACACGGUCCAGACUCCUACGGGAGGCAGCCAUG
rnacentral:rRNA from 1 species